rnacentral:rRNA from 1 species
GAUGAACGCUGGCGGCGUGCCUAAUACAUGCAAGUCGAGCGAACAGACGAGGAGCUUGCUCCUCUGACGUUAGCGGCGGACGGGUGAGUAACACGUGGAUAACCUACCUAUAAGACUGGGAUAACUUCGGGAAACCGGAGCUAAUACCGGAUAAUAUAUUGAACCGCAUGGUUCAAUAGUGAAAGACGGUUUUGCUGUCACUUAUAGAUGGAUCCGCGCCGCAUUAGCUAGUUGGUAAGGUAACGGCUUACCAAGGCAACGAUGCGUAGCCGACCUGAGAGGGUGAUCGGCCACACUGGAACUGAGACACGGUCCAGACUCCUACGGGAGGCAGCAGUAGGGAAUCUUCCGCAAUGGGCGAAAGCCUGACGGAGCAACGCCGCGUGAGUGAUGAAGGUCUUCGGAUCGUAAAACUCUGUUAUUAGGGAAGAACAAAUGUGUAAGUAUCUAUGCACGUCUUGACGGUACCUAUCAGAAAGCCACGGCUAACUACGUG